rnacentral:rRNA from 1 species
UACGUAGGUGGCGAGCGUUGUCCGGAUUUACUGGGCGUAAAGAGCGCGCAGGCGGUCGUGCAAGUCGCGUGUGAAAGCCCCCGGCUCAACUGGGGAGGGUCACGCGAUACUGUUCGACUCGAAGGCAGGAGAGGGAAGUGGAAUUCCCGGUGUAGUGGUGAAAUGCGUAGAUAUCGGGAGGAACACCAGUGGCGAAGGCGACUUCCUGGCCUGCUCUUGACGCUGAGGCGCGAAAGCUAGGGUAGCAAACGGG